AUUGAACGCUGGCGGCAGGCCUAACACAUGCAAGUCGAACGAGUAGAGGACGGGUGAGUAGUGUCUGGGAAACUGCCCGAUGGAGGGGGCUAACGGCUGGAAAAGGUGGCUAAUGCCGCAUAACAUGCGCUGUGCCCAGGUUGGAGUAGCUAGUCGGUGGGGUAACGGCUCACCUAGGCGACGAUGCCUAGCUGGUCUGAGAGGAUGACCGGCCACACUGGAACUGAGACACGGCCCAGACUCCUACGGGAGGCAGCAGUAGGGAAUCUUGGACAAUGGGCGAAAGCCUGACGCAGCCACGCCGCGUGUAUGAAGAAGGUCUUCGGAUUGUAAAGUACUGUCAUCAGAGAGGCGUUACCCAAAGAAGAAGCCCCGGCUAACUACGUGCCAGCAGCCGCGGUAAUAC
rnacentral:rRNA from 1 species